GACGAACGCUGGCGGCGUGCCUAAUACAUGCAAGUAGAACGCUGAAGAGAGGAGCUUGCUCUUCUUGGAUGAGUUGCGAACGGGUGAGUAACGCGUAGGUAACCUGCCUUGUAGCGGGGGAUAACUAUUGGAAACGAUAGCUAAUACCGCAUAACAAUGGAUGACACAUGUCAUUUAUUUGAAAGGGGCAAUUGCUCCACUACAAGAUGGACCUGCGUUGUAUUAGCUAGUAGGUGAGGUAAUGGCUCACCUAGGCGACGAUACAUAGCCGACCUGAGAGGGUGAUCGGCCACACUGGGACGGAGACACGGCACAGACUCCUACGGGAGGCAGCAGUAGGGAAUCUUCGGCAAUGGGGGCAACCCUGACCGAGCAACGCCGCGUGAGUGAAGAAGGUUUUCGGAUCGUAAAGCUCUGUUGUAAGUCAAGAACGGGUGUGAGAGUGGAAAGUUCACACUGUGACGGUAGCUUACCAGAAAGGGACGGCUAACUACGUG
rnacentral:rRNA from 1 species